AGCGAACGCUGGCGGCAGGCCUAACACAUGCGAGUCGAACGGUCCUUCGGGACAGUGGCGGACGGGUGAGUAACGCGUGGGAACGUGCCCUUAGGUUCGGAACAACUCAGGGAAACUUGAGCUAAUACCGAAUGUGCCCUACGGGGGAAAGAUUUAUCGCCUUUGGAGCGGCCCGCGUCUGAUUAGCUAGUUGGUGAGGUAAAGGCUCACCAAGGCUACGAUCAGUAGCUGGUCUGAGAGGAUGAUCAGCCACACUGGGACUGAGACACGGCCCAGACUCCUACGGGAGGCAGCAGUGGGGAAUCUUGCGCAAUGGGCGAAAGCCUGACGCAGCCAUGCCGCGUGAAUGAUGAAGGUCUUAGGAUUGUAAAAUUCUUUCACCGGGGACGAUGAUGACGGUACCCGGAGAAGAAGCCCCUGCUAACUUCGUGCCAGCAGCCGCGGUAAUACGAAGGGGGCUAGCGUUGCUCGGAAUUACUGGGCGUAAAGGGCGCGUAGGCGGACGU
rnacentral:rRNA from 1 species